GGACCCGUAGCUCAGUCGGUUAGUAGCACCUGACUCAUAAUCAGGGGGUCGCUGGUUCAAGCCCAGCCGGGUCCA
rfam:Alistipes sp. CAG:831 genomic scaffold, scf264